rnacentral:rRNA from 1 species
UGGUGGAGUGAUUUGUCUGGUUUAUUCCGUUAACGAACGAGACCCGUGCCUGCUAAAUAAUUGUCAUUGAGUUUUUCACAGUGUUCAAUUUCUUAGAGGGACUUGCAUCUAUUCAGUUGACGGAAGAAAGGGGCAAUAACA